GACGAACGCUGGCGGCGUGCUUAACACAUGCAAGUCGAACGGAAAGGCCCUGCUUUUGUGGGGUGCUCGAGUGGCGAACGGGUGAGUAACACGUGAGUAACCUGCCCUUGACUUUGGGAUAACUUCAGGAAACUGGGGCUAAUACCGGAUAUGAGCUCCUGCUGCAUGGUGGGGGUUGGAAAGUUUCGGCGGUUGGGGAUGGACUCGCGGCUUAUCAGCUUGUUGGUGGGGUAGUGGCUUACCAAGGCUUUGACGGGUAGCCGGCCCGAGAGGGUGACCGGCCACAUUGGGACUGAGAUACGGCCCAGACUCCUACGGGAGGCAGCAGUGGGGAAUAUUGCACAAUGGGCGGAAGCCUGAUGCAGCAACGCCGCGUGCGGGAUGACGGCCUUCGGGUUGUAAACCGCUUUCGCCUGUGACGAAGCGUGAGUGACGGUAAUGGGUAAAGAAGCACCGGCUAACUACGUG
rnacentral:rRNA from 1 species